rnacentral:misc_RNA from 1 species
GAUGAAGAACGUAGCGAAAUGCGAUAAGUAGUGUGAAUUGCAGAAUUCAGUGAAUCAUCGAAUCUUUGAACGCACAUUGCGCCCCCUGGUAUUCCGGGGGGCAUGCCUGUCCGAGCGUCAUUACAACCCUCAAGCUCAGCUUGGUGUUGGGCCCCGCCGCCCCGGCGGGCCCUAAAGUCAGUGGCGGUGCCGUCCGGCUCCGAGCGUAGUAAUUCUUCUCGCUCUGGAGGUCCGGUCGUGUGCUCGCCAGCAACCCCCAAUUUUUUUCAGGUUGACCUCGGAUCAGGUAGGGAUACCCGCUGAACUUAAGCAUAUCAAUAAGCGGACGA